rnacentral:lncRNA from 1 species
CGGUUUUGAUUUACGAUAGUUGAAUGUAUUUGUUUCUGUUGUCGAUCUAUUUUUUUAUCUAGUUUAUCAUGUGGCCUACUUGCGGGCGAUGUGAGAUUCCUCAUGUUUGAUCAAUGGACCAUUGUCGACAACAGUAUUGUUGAGAGCGGCAACCUUUGAUGGUCACUAACUCAAUUGUCGGUAGCGAGUGCACACACAGCGGAAGCAUCGUGGGGUGCGGUAGCCUUGCAGUGAUUGACCUACCUUGGUUGCAAGCGGUUGUAAUAGUGUAGUUGUGUACGACGGCUACAACAGCAUCGUUGUUGCUUGUGACAAUUAUAGUAGAGCCACUACCUACAACGACUACAGUAGUGUCGUGGCUAUGACUGCUGGAGUAGUGUUGUUGCCUGCAGCAAUUGUAGCAACAUCGCUACGACAUUUAUGAGUCACGAGCAACAUCAACUGGACACCGAAGGCUAGCGACUUCUCGGGCAAAAGCCUCCCAAUAACCAUCAUUGCGAUCGUUAGGUGACACGUGUGCAUAACCCCAUGUGGGCACGAUGGCAUAGCACUGCAUGACAAUCGAAAGUCAUCGAUCGACAUUGUAAGGACAAUUGCCG